rnacentral:lncRNA from 1 species
GAUGUAGCUAUUAAAAAAAAAAUGAUCCCAGUCUUCCACAGAGAUUUACAUCUAGGUGUUAUAAUCUUUAUAGGCCCCUUGGCUUCUUGACAUCUAUCUUGUUGAUUUUUGUCUCACUUUCUUUCACUUUCCUCAUACUCCUUUCCACAUGAUUCGUAGAAACUCCAGUUAAUUUCCUUGAAUUUCUAUGAGUAAAUCUAGCUUUUUAUCCUCUGGUAUUAAUUCCAAUUACAUUGUAGUACUCUAAUGAAGAAAAGUGACCAUUCUCUAACUAAUUUCACUAAGAACUUGAAGAUAUAUUGGCCUGCAAUUCUCUCCCACCUACUUCCUUUAGUUGAAGCCAUCUUCAUUAAGACAGCUGUAGUUUUAGAUAGGAUUUUAAUAUAUUACUAUUAUGCAUUUUAUUACCAUUUCUAUUGGCUAAAAUGUUUUGAUAAUUUUCCUAUAUGUUCCUUUGCAUAAUUUAAAAAUGGCUUUAUAACUUCUAAGUCCUACUAUUUUGUAUAAC